rnacentral:lncRNA from 1 species
GUAAUGGUCCAAACACAAUGAGAGAAGAAGCCUUCAACAUUUUGUGUUUUAACUUAGCAAACUGGUCCAUUGACAACAACGUUUUGUUGCCCCAAGCAAGAUGAAGAGCACUGCUCUGCGAAGUCAGCUAAGAGGUUACGCUUCUAGUAAGCACCAACCAAACUCCCCUCAUGCAAAGUCAUAGCCACCUUUUUGAAGGUGGGACAUACAUGCCACACAUAUAUGGCACAUGCCAAUAGUACACAAUCCAGUAUUUUGCUUAUUAACACCCCUCACAAGAAGAAGAAGACUUUAUCAAUGUUUGCUUGUUUGUCCACAUCAGGUUACUGCCCUCACUUGAGUUACAAGCUUGUGUUACCA